GCAGUCCGAUGAGAACUGCAAGACGCCCACGUCAGCUCCAGCAGAAUCAUCUUCAACUGCAGGAAUUAUUGGAGGAGUUGUUGCUUUGGUGGUGGUAUGUGCUCUUGCAGUGCUCUUCUUCUUCUGCUGGAGAAAUCGUAAGAAGGAGAAGCCGAAGGUCGUCAGGAAAGCACCACUUAGAGCACCCAUCCGUCCCAGACAGCCGCCGAAUCAGAAUAUCAAGCCUAUUACGGUAUCGAUUAUUUACUGAAAAAAUCAAUAAUAUUUCUAAAUUAUUGAUUUUUCAGCCUGCGACUCCCACACCAUCUCAGCCAUCAGAGGAAAAUAAGGCUGCAUUGGCCAAGCAGAUUGAAAUGAUGAAAAUCCGGGCCCACAUGAGAAAGGCAGAAGAGCGGCACAAGUGGGACACGAGAACCUCUAAGUUCAAAAAAAAAGGAGCAAUCUUUAUCCCGAUGGAGCCGGACGUACGUUUAUUUAUUGUUUUAAUAUUGAAAUUGAAGCCAGCAUGUCGACGGAUUUGAUUUGAAUAUAAUCAUGACUAGUUCCCUCAAUUUUGAGAAUUAUGGGUCUCACCGCGAAGGUUACAGUAGCUUUGCACGGAGAGACCUGUGAUGUUUAAAUUGAGCGGAUUCUAGUCAUUUUUAUACUUAAAUUGAAACCACUGACUUGAUAUAUUGAAAUAAUUUUCAAAAAAUAUCAAUAAACUUUUGCAGAUCUUGCCAGCUGGUCCACUCCCCAACGACAUCGUUCUGAAGAAAGUGGAGUAUGAUCCAUCCGGCAAUGAGAUGUUUGAUAUUGGAUCCGAUGUCGAUGACAUCGAGCUGGAUGCGUCUUUUAUUGUGGAUCCAAGCACGAUCACGGAGGACGAGCCAACGAAGAACACACCAUCGACAAAGGGAACGGAGACAACAGAGGAUACAAAGAAGCCGACGGGAGGAAAUAAGAAGAAAUAAGAGACUGAUGGAAUUGAUUUGAGAACAGUUAUUUCAUUCAAUCAAUAAAUGAUUUUACUAGAUUCCGAUUUUUUUGGCUUUACACAUACAGUUUGCAGCUUUUCAGAAAAUCAGUUGCAAAUUUAACGGAAAUCGAGAAUAAAAAUUGAAUUAGUUCUCGAUUCUGAAAUUUUCGAAACGGACGAUUUUUGAUGACAAGUGAGUUUAUUUUGCUACUUUGAAACGAUGCUCCGAGGUUCCAAUGGGGGUGCUCUUUUCGAUGCUCCUGCAUUUCAAGUGUUGUUUAGCAACAGAAAAAGCGGGAAUUCAAAAUUUCGAAUGAGAAGCAGGGUCCAGCGGCUGGCUGAUUUUUUCGGCUGGCGCCGACAGCUGACUGCUCACAAUUUUUCGGCUGUCGGCUGGUGCUCAGUCGGCUGUCGGCUGGUGCUACAAGCCGAAAAUCACCAAAUUUUCGGCUGGCGGUUGGCUGCGCAAUCUUAUAUAUAUAUGUUCAAUUUGUCUUUCAGGGUUCACUGGUGGAGCAAAGGAGAAGACGGCGGCUACGGAGGAGUCCAAUGAAAAGAAGAUUAAUUUUAAUGAACUAUUUUAAUUAUAUAUAUAUGUUGUUUUUUUAAACAAUAUUAUUGAUUAGGGCUUUAAAAACGCCAAAAACGUUUGUUUAUUAUUUUGAAACUAAACUUAAAUCUUUAUUGAUGCAGCGAGCCCAUUCCAGCAAUAUUCGGCAACUCGCCAAAUGUUCCAUUCAUCUUUUGAAAUUUCUCAACAAAAUUGGCGAUUUCCGACUGUUUCAGCAAUUUGAAGCAAUAUUUAAUAUUUUUAAACAAAUUUGUUAAUUUCGGCGUCCUUGGAAGCUUACGAUACUUUGUCAACUUUCGAUUAUAGUUGGCAACUUUUGGAACAUUUUUGGCAAUUUCUGAAAGCUCUCCGCAAUCGGCGGCAAUUUUAACAGCUUCUGACAUUCAUCGUAAAAUGUAUAGCAAGUUGAUAAAUAGAGGUCUUUAAUAGCAAACAAGUUUGAUAUUUUUUGUCCAUUUCUGGCAACUUCCGACAGCUUUCAGAGAUUUCCUCCUAUUGUUAAAAAUUUUCGACAUCUUUCCCCAGCUUUCUGUAGCUGUUGAAGUUUUUUCCACGAGUAACGGUAGACUAGGGCUUCUAUGAGAGGUAGGCGCGGUUUCAGUGCUUGACACCUGCCUCCAGCCUGCCUGCCUCAACAAUAUGAAAAGAGACUGAUGGGAUUGAUUUGAGAACAGUCGUGAGAUUUGAAUAAAACUAACUGGUAUCUUACAAUUAUUAAAUUCGAUCAAUAAACGAUUUUACUAAAUUCCGAUUUUUUGGCUAUAAACAUACAGGGUGACAAUUAAUUGUAGCAACAGAAUUCGCGCUCUUUUGCACAGUUACAUUUGUCAUUAUAUGCAAUUUUUUUUAUUUUAAACAAUUUUAUCUGACCCAUGUUUUCAAUGAAGUUAUGGGGGUUAAAACAAAAAAAAGAUUUUCACUGCCAUUUAACGGGAAUUGGAGGAGCUCCAGGAGCUCAAAAUAAUUCCAAAGUUAAACUGUAACUGGUAUUUUAUAUUUUCGAAGUCUUAUCUUGUGAACAUAACAUCCCAAGCCAGCAGAUACAAAAAAUUAUGAUCUGGUUUAACAGAUUCCGUCAAUUGACCGGUAUGGCUGAUAUUGUAGGUUUUGUCAUUACUAAUAGUCUUCUAUACAAUGCAAAAAACCUGGAUAACACUCAUUGGACGGGCUAAUAGUUUUUUUCCUCUAUUGCUUCUGGGGUCUCCUUGGGGACGAGAAGACAAUGGCGCCCCUACUUGCCGACAGUUUACUGUCACUCCCCACUGUGCACAUGAUGCCUCAGUAAGCUCAAUAAACAGGGUGCCAUCGCGAUGUGAGCAUCACAAAACGACAAUUCGUAGAGGCCACAUGAGUGCAUUACGCCCCAAAUGAAAUAAAAAUUUGAAAAAAUAUCAACAGAUUCGUUUCCACUUUAGUACCAUUUUCAGGAAAAAAAAUCUACUUUGUGAGAAGUUUUUGAUUUUAGAAAAAUUGUGGCCUGUGGAAAAAAUCGUGGCACAAAAAUUUUCGAUUUUCAGCAGACCCUACAAUAUCAGCCAUACCGGUCAAUUGACGGACUCUGUUAAACCAGAUCAUACUUUUUUGUAUCUGCUGGCUUGGGAUGUUAUGUUCACAAGAUAAGACUUCGAAAAUAUAAAAUACCAGUUACAGUUUAACUUUGGAAACAUUUUGAGCUCCUGGAGCUCCUUCAAUUCCCCUUAAAUGGCAGGGAAAAUGUUGUUUUUUUUUAAUUUGGACCCCCAUAACUUCAUUGAAAACAUGGGUCAGAUAAAAUUGUUUAAAAAAAUUGCAUAUGAUGACAAAUGUAACUACCGUAGUCUGUGCAAAAGAGCGCGAAUUCUGUUGCUACAAUUAAUUGUCACCCUGUAUGUUUAUAGCCAAAAAAUCGGAAUUUAGUAAAAUCGUUUAUUGAUCGAAUGUAAUAAUUGUAAGAUACCAGUUAGUUUUAUUCAAAUCUCACGAAUAUUUUCAAAUCAAUCCCAUCAGUCUCUCUUCUUAUUUUUACUAUUUCCUCCCUGCGACUCCUUUGUAUCCUCCGUUUUUUCCGUUCCCUUUGUUAAUGGUCAACACUGAAAAACAAAUUCAAAAUAUACAUGGGAUUGAUUUUGAUUUUUUUUAAACAAAAAAUCAAUAACUUUGCGGUCUCUCAUUCAAAAUUUUGAAUUCCCGCUUUUUCUGUUGCUAAACAAGACUCUUGAAAUGCAGGAGCAUCGAAAAGAGCACCCCCAUCGGGACCUCGGAGUAUCGUUUAAAAGUAUAAAAAUAAAAAAAACUCACUUGUCAUUAAGAAUCGCCCGUUUCGAAGAUUCCACAAUCGAGAACUGAUUUAAUUUUUGAUACUUUCAAUUCAAAUUUAAAAAAAAAGAUUGCGUGGCAGGAGUUCACGGUGAAAUUGAAUUUUUUUGAAUGAAAUUUCAAAAGAAAAUAUCGAUUUUGAUCCCUAAAAUUAAUUUAAUUUAAUUUAAUUGAAUUUAAUUUAUUACGAUAGUAAGAUAUCUUGAGUUAAAACAAAGACACAUAAUAAUUAAUACAAACCAUCACAAGUGGUUACAUAAACAAAAAUGGAAAAAACAAUAAGAAAGAGACAAGAAAAAAACGUAAUGGCUACAGUGAAGAAGCAACAAGAAGCACAAAAUAAAUGGGUAAAAAGCAGGAAUAACUGAUGAAUAAAAGUGAAGAUAAGGUAACAUUAGAUCAGUGUUGUUUCAUUGUAGGUAGUGUUCUGUUAACAAAAAAGUGCCUCCUGAGUUUAGUGCUCCAGACAUAUUUAUUUUUAGAACGAGUGCGGGUCUCGUGAUGUUCAAAUAACUCAGAUGUUUUAAGUCCACUUUACCAGAGUUCAUUCUGAUUACUUGGAUUCUGUCAAUUAUUUUGCGUCUUGUGCUCAAGGUUUGGAUGUGGAACAACUCGUUACGUUCUAUGUCUAAUUUGUAAUCUUUAUCGGUUGGAUUAAUUUUUUUUUUUUGAUUCUACUAUAAAGGCGUCUAGUGAAUGCGUUUUGUACAAAUUCUAUGGUUUUCUCGUCCGAUUUUUUCAACGGAGAAGACACUACAGUCUCAUAUUCUGAACGGGGACGGAUGAAAGUUUUGUAUAAGAGAGUCAUUAGUUUCGCAUUGGAGGUACUGUACUGGUUGAAUAUGUUGAGGUUAUUACAAAAAAUAACAAACAUUUCCGAUUUCCUUCAAGCAUUUUCUUGAAAAGUUACUUGCGGCAAAAAUGAAAAUUUUCAUGGUGCAUCUGUGAGCUCGUUGUUGUCAGAGAGAAUCUAAUUUUGUGAAAUAUUGAUGAAUUUCUGAUUGUGAAUACCGUAUAUCUCCUAUUAAUAUGGCCUCCCUAUUAGACUUGCACUCCCUAUUAGUAUUGCCCCUCGGAGACCUUCCGAAAAUUAGUAUGGCACUCCCUAAUAGCCUUGCGUUUACUCUUUUUUAUUGCAGGCCCGUCUUCAGGAUUUCAACGAAAAAAUUUGCCUAUUUUGCAACAGUUUUUCACAACAUUUCUGCGAGAUUGAAGUUUUUGAACUUAUAUGUUACAAUUAAAAUCAAAUUUUCUGAAUUUUUACAUAAGAUUCGAGCUUUUUCAGAAAAAAACUAGUAAGCUCAAAGUCAGAAAAAUGUUCUGAAAAUUAGUAUUGCACUCCCUAAUAGUCCCUAUUAGUAUUGCAAGCGGGAAGGCCAUCGAAAAAUAGUAUUGCAGCCAUAUUAAUAGAAGAAAUACGGUAGUUGUUUGCUGUUCAGUUAAAUCUUUGUGGAAUUAUCUUUAUUCUGAACAUUUUUAUGACAACAAAAGAGUGUUGCUAUAAUAAUUUGUCACUAGCUUUCAUGAAAAUCGAUAUGUUUCAAGGAAAUCUGUGUAAUUUUAGGGAUGAAAAUCAAUUUUUUUUUGAAAUUUAAUUCGAAAAAAAUUAAAUCUCCCCGUGAACUCCUGCCACUCAAUGUAAUUUUUCAAAUUUGAGUUGAAAAUAUCAAAAAUUAAAUCAGUUCUCGAUUGUGGAAUCUUCGAAACGGGCGAUUCUUAAUGACAAGUGAGUUUAUUUUGCUACUUUUAAACAAUGCUUCGAUGCUCCGAUGGGGGUGCUUUUUUUUCGAUGCUCCUGCAUUUCAAGAGUGUUGUUCAGCAUCAGAAAGAGCGAAAAAUAAAAAAUUUUGAAUGAAAGACAGCGAAGUUAAUUUCACACAGCUUUAUUGUUUUGAUUGGUGGCGGUGUUUACCGAGAAGCAGCAUGUUUGAAGAAAACCAUCAAUUGAAAAUGUUCAGGUACUGAAUCAAUGUCUACUAUGCUUACGAUAUUCAUAUCAACAAAGGUCAACAGAGGAUACAAAAGCGUCGAAGAGUGGAAACAAGAAAAAUAAGAAGAGAGACUGAUGGGAUUGAUUUGAGAACAGUCGUGAGAUUUGAAUAAAACUAACUGGUAUCUUACAAUUAUUGCAUUCGAUCAAUAAACGAUUCAAUUAAAAUCCAAGUUUUUGGUUUUACGCACACAGUUUGCAGAAAUGGAUAGUUUUCAGAAAAUCAAGGAAAACAGUACAAUUUUUAGCGAUGAAAAUCGAUAUUUUCUUUUGAAAUUUCAUUUAAAAAAAUUUAAUUUUACCGUGAAUUCCUGCCACGCAAUGUGUUGUUUUUCAAAUUUGAUUUGAAAAUAUCAAAAAUUUGAUUAGUUCUCGAUUCUGGAUUCUUCGAAACGAAUGAUUCAUGAUGACACGUAAGUUUAUUUUUCUACUUUCAAACCAUGCUCUGAGGUUCCGAUGAGGGUGCUCUUUCCGAUGCUCCUGCAUGUCCAGAACGUUGUUUAGCAUUAGAAAGAGCGGGAAUUCGAAAUUUUGAGUGAGAAAUUGCAAAUUAUUGAUUUUUUGUUCAAAAAAGCUCAAAUCAAUCCUAUGUUUAUGUUGAAUUUGUCUUUCAGGGUUGACCAUCAACGAAGGGAACAGAAACAACGGAGGAUGCAAAGGAGUCGCAGGAAGGAAAUAAGAAGAAUAAGAAGAGAGACUGAUGGAAUUGAUUUGAAAAUAUUCGUGAGAUCUUAAUGAGAAUAACUGGUAUCUUACAAUUUUCACAUUCGAUUUAAUAAACGAUUUUAUCGAAAAGUUAUUUUGAUUUUUGUUCACAUUGAAUAACAUUUUUCUAAAAUCGAAAACUUCUAGCAAAGUAGAUAUUUUCCCUGAAAAUGGUACUAAAGUGGAAACGAAUCUGUUGAUAUUUUUUCAAAUUUUUAUUUCAUUAGGGGCAUAAUGCUCUCAUGUGCUCUCUACGAAUAGUCGUUUUGUGAUGCAUCGCGAUGGCACCCUGUUUAUUGAGCUUACUGAGACAUUAAGUGCACAUCACGGGAGUGCGGCAAAUCUCAAAAUUUGAAGAGGUCGGCAAAUUCGGAAAAUUGGGCAUAUUUGCCGCCCCUGGACGAAAGCUUGCUAUGUGCCAAGUGAAAGAUAUAUGUUGCAUUACUAGAAUGUCCAAAUAUCUUGCCGCUAAGCGGUAUAAAGUUGCCCAUGUAUUGUGCAAUCUAUAUCUGUAACUUGGCACAUAUCGACAUACAUGUUAUCCACCUUUUCACUGCCGCCCAACUUCCAGAUUAUUGAAAAAAAUUAUCGAUUUUUUUUUGCAAUUCUUUCUGAAAUCAAAACCUUUGUAUGGGUAGAGGUAAUAGGCAGUGAGUUUAAUGAAAUUAUUAAAUUCCAAAUUCAGAAAUAGCUGAUUCUUUUCAAUUUCAGAUGAUUCAACAUCUUUCCAAAGUUCCGAAAAUGCUUACAAAAAUUCAUUUGAGCGGCGUAAAAAAAUUGCCGAAAAUGUUCUAAAAAAUGCCAAAUAUCGUCGAAAGUUCACAAAAUGUGUCUAAAGUUUCCGAAGACGCUGAAGGUUAUGAAGGUUAUUGAAAUUGUCGGUAACAGUCAAGUUUGUCGAAAAAGUUUAAAAUAAAUAGUUGGAACAUCUGAGAGCAACCGACUUUUGCCGGAAUGGGCUGGCUGCAUCCAUAAAGCUUUUAAGUUUAGUUUCAAAAUAUCAAACAAAAGUUUUUGGCGUUUUUAAAGCCCUAAUCAAUAAUAUUAUUGAAAUCAAUAUUUACAAAAAAACCAACAAAUAAAUAAUUAAAAUAGUUAGAUAAAAUUAAUCCUCUUUCAUUGAACUCCUUCGUAUCCUCCGUCUCUUCCUUUGCUCCACCAGUCGAGUCAACCCUGAAAGACAAAUUCAAUAUAAACAUAGGAUUGAUUUGAGCUUUUUUGAACAAAAGCCAAUAAUUUGCAAUUUCUCACUCAAAAUUUCGAAUUCCCGCUCUUUCUAAUGCUAAACAACGUUCUGGACAUGCAGGAGCAUCGAAAAGAGCACCCUCAUCGGAAGUUCCGAUUCGGAACCUCAGAGCAUGGUUUGAAAGUAGCAAAAUAAACUUACGUGUCAUCAUAAAUCGUUCGUUUUGAAGAAUUCAGAAUCGAGAACUAAUCAAAUUUUUGAUAUUUUCAAAUCAAAUUUGGAAAAACAACACAUUGCGCGGCAGGAGUUCACGGUAAAAUGUAAUUUUUUUCGAAUGAAAUUUCAAAAGAAAAUAUCGAUUUUCAUCGCUAAAAGUUGUACUGUUUUCCUUGAUUUUCUGAAAACUAUCCAUUUCUGCAAACUGUGUGCGUAAAACCAAAACCUUGGAUUUUAAUAGAAUCGUUUAUUGAUCGAAUUUAAUAAUUGUAAGAUACCAGUUAGUUUUAUUCAAAUCUCACGACUGUUCUCAAAUCAAUCCCAUCAGUCUCUCUUCUUAUUCUUUUUAUUUCCACCCUUCGACGUUUUUGUAUCCUCUGUUGACCUUUGUUGAUAUGAAUAUCGUAAGCAUAAAAUCUUCUGAUAAAAAACAUUAUAAAAAAUAGGAGCGUUUUAGAAAAUUUAAAUUUUUCGUUGAAAAAUAUUUUUUUGUUGGAAAAUCCUCAAAUAGUGUGAAACAUUGGCAAUUUCUUGAAGAAAAAAGUGUAAAUUGACCGAGACUUUUUUUGAUAAUUGAUAUACUGUUAGAAAAAAAGACACAUUUUGGAAAAUUCAAUAAAUGUUAGGAAAAAUCCAAAUGUUUAUUUUAGAGAAACAGUGAGCCUUACUUAAUUUCCAUUUAUUUUAUAAACAGUUCUGAGUUUUUUUAGCUAAAGGUUUCGAAUAUCUUUUUAUUUCAGAAAGAUCGAGAUGAUCAGCCGUUUCCUUGGUUCGAGAUUUUUUUUACCAUAAUUCCAAUUUUUGUGCUUUGUUUUUGCCUUCUGUGUAAGAGUAAUAUUUAGAAAACGAGGAUCUGGCGGAAUUAAAAAGUAUCGUUGCCUUUAUGAAUCAUGAUAAUGAAUAUUUGAAUUAUUCGAAUGUCUACGUGUGUUAUUUUUUGUGGAAAAUUGAUAUAAACUAACUUAAUUUCCAGUUAAAUGUUAUAAUCUUUUAAAAGUAUUUAUAAAUUUCCUUGACAGCAAAAAAAUUAAAAUUUAAUAUUUUCACUGUUUUUGACAGCUGAAUUGCAUAUUUCGGGUAUUUGUAUCAAUAAGAAGUUUCACUCCAAAGUAAAUAAAAAUUGCUUUUCCGAGUAAAGCCACUUGCACGGAAAUUCGAAUUUCGCAUUUUUUUGGUUUUUCUCCUACUUUCAUGUUGUUUCUCAAAAUCUAAUUGUAAGCAAAAUUAUACUUCUCUGGAGAAACAAAAUUUCAGAAUGAAUUUAAAAAUUUUUUAAUGAUAAAUAUUUUGUAGUUUAUUACUGGUCGUCGGCCACAAACAAAAUCUACAAAAUAGAGUAAAAAAUGACUAAGACUUGCGUUUUGGAUGCUGUGAUACAACAGUUAUUGCAGAAAUUCGCAACUUCUUUUCAGAUUUUAGUAACUGUUUAGCCAAGUUUUGCCAACCUUAGAACUUUUCAGUGCCAAUUUCUGAGAGAAUCCCCAACUUUCAUCAAUUUUACCCAACUUUAAAGGUCUGCAAGAGUGCUUCAAAACCUGGGUUGGGAAGACUUUUGAUGUUUUUUAGGAUGACUGAGUGUAGGUUAACAUUCAGAAAACCUUGGCGGAAUGAAAUGUAGACAUUUUCUUGAUCGACAUAAAAAUCUACACAAUUUUUGGAGUAAUUUUGCAGUCACCUAUUUCAACGGCUCUUUUUUUUUAAAGUAGAACCUGUUAUAUAUUUCCAUUUUUUCUAAAACUUCAUUGGUUUUCAAAGUGUUGUGAGUUCUAGUAAGCAGUAAAAAUGACAAAUGCGGAGACAAUUCCAAUUGACAGCGAGAUGAUCGAAGACUGAUGACUUUGAAGAGAAGUUUGUUCCACCGGAGCUGACGUGGCCACAUCCAAUUUUGAAUUCGAUUUCUGAAAACAGAAAGUUCAUAUUGAUUAAAAUACUACAUUAAGAAUGCAAAAAAUCUAAAUUGUGCGCAAUCAUAAUUUUUGUAACUAAACGUUGACUCUGAAUUUAUGAAAUAAAAUUGAUCCGUCAGAGCUUAGCAGACUAAUCUAAAGCUGUUUGAAAAUCACCUUCAUCGAAGUAGUAGGGAAUGUAGUUGUCACCGUGGUUGUGGGUUCAGGAGUCGUUGCUGUAAAUUGAGUUUUUAACAAUUUGAAUGAAAUUGAAGAUUCAAAACAUACUGCAAUCGGCAUCAACAGGCUUGUCACAACCUUCACCAGAGAGUCCUAAAAAAAGUGAAUGAUUUAUCGAAUUGUGAAAAAUUAAAACAAACUAGGACAUCUCAAGUCUCUAAACUCAAAUUCAUCAAUGCACAGGUAUUUUGCUUCUGCCUCAGUCAUUGCUUAAAAAAUAUUUUUGGAAUAAAAAGUUAGAAAAUUGUCAUACUCGUAUUGUGAUUGCAAUCAUGGUCGGUGUCUUUGUAACACCCUGCACCAAUAUCCCCUGCAAUUAUUUUUUUCAAUAAUAGAAUCACAUUGUCAAUUUUUGGCAGAAUAACACACCACUUUUUACAACGCAUGCCCAAAUCCAUUUCUUUAUUUCAGCGUGAUGCAACUUGCAGAGUGCGCGGUUUGGAUAAAUAGGCAAGAAUCCUGAAAAGUAUAUUUUAUCGACUUUUCAGAAAUUAGAAAAUUUGUUGAAUACCAAGACGCAUUGAGUAACAUUGGCAAUCAUUGGUAUACUUUUUGCAGAAAUCCGUGCCAUAUGAUGCUGUCGGUGGGAUAGCUGAAAAUUGAAAGCUUUAUUCAAAGUACAGAAAAAAACUAUUAAACUUACGUUUUACACACGCAGGAUCACCUGCUGCAUAACACACUUCUGGAUCUGAAAAAUCAAUAAGUUCUAAAGAGCAUGCUGCCUGAGAAUUAAAAUAUUUCAGAGAUAGAUUCAGAUGGAUUGACAUUAGAAAUAAUCACUGUACAACGACGAAAAUUUUCUGAAAUCCUGAUAGAAGCAUAGGCUUAAAACAGUUAUUUUCAAAAUCAGCAGGAUAAAUUAUCGAUUUUCCUGAUAACAAACCAUGUGUUGUAUUGACAUUAUUGCACAAGUUCCUAUCGGCAUGCUUUGGUGCGAUAGUACAGUACCAGAUCGUUCCUAAAAAUAUAGACGUAUAUUAUGAAAUGAAUAUAAUGAAACGACUGAUUUCCUACCCGGACACCUGUGAUCUUGCUUAAAAUCCUGACACUUUUGAUUAAUUUCCUCCUGUUUGAGUGCUGAAAUUAUAAAUUAGGGAAUAUGUUCAAGAAUAACUUACGGAAAUGACAGUCCUUAUCAGUGAUUUUGAGACAAUUAUCACCUGGUUCACUCCCUGAAAAAAAUUGAUUAUUCUUUAAAAAUUGUCGAGUUCUCAUUUGAAAAUUAUAGAAUUUAUUCAAUAUAAAUACAAAAACUGAGAGAUCUUAUUCAUUUUUUUGUAAAAAAAACAUUUUCUGAAAACGAUCAGUUUUUGAAAUCAAUGUGUACCUGGGCAACGCGGGUCUUUUUUGUUCGCAUCCAUAUUACAAUAUGAAGUUCCAUCUGAUGAAUCGGCUUCGAAAACUGAAAGGUAAUUACAUUUUUGUGUGAGUUUCUUGUAUUGCUCCAACUUACCACACUUUUUAUUUACUGAUGGAUCGCAUGGUUGUUUUUUGGUAGAUGUGUCUAAAAUUUUAUAGUAAUUUAUUAUGUGAUUUCUAUUCAAAAGUAUUAACAGCUAGUCUGAUUGACAAUGUUUUAUACGAUUUUUGAAAAGUUAAAAAAUCUCCGUUGUCCCCUAAUUCCUAUUUGAAUCAAUUGGGUUUGUGCGAUGGUGGUGAAAUAUUUUUGAAAAUAUUUACCUUUACAUGUACCGAGGGGGCGCCACCUUUGCUAAACUAUACAGCUUUACAGCUUUUGCUAUACAGCUCUCAGGCAAACGAUACCACGCAGGCGCGCGCUCCCAUCAAGCAGGAGAUGGCGGGCUCUGGCAUGGUGGGAACGCGCGCCUGUGUGGUUUCGUUUGCCUGCGAUAAUGAGGCUGUAUAGCAAAAGUGACGCGCCUUUUCGAAAGGCGCCCGUAAGGCGCCGGGAAUUUUCUCCCACCGAGCGUUUAAAAUUGACAGAAUUUGAUUUAGGUACUUGCUUUACGCUCACAACUUAAAAGUGGUCUAAUGUUUUAUAAAAAUAUGACAACGCUAAUUGCUUUUAUCACAUUUUUCGAAACGAACCUUGACGUUUUCCGAUGCUUUUGAAUCCAAUAUUCGAAUCCUUAAACUGAAAAUCAGUGCUCUUGGUACCAAAAUCAACAUUUUCAUGAACCGUCAAAGCGUCCAAAUUUUGAGGCAUUGCGGUUGUUAACCUUAAAAACCUUUAAAAACCUUGGUUAAAAAAUAGAAGAUUCAAUCAGUUCUUGAUUUUGAUUUUUUGAAAGUGACGGGUUCCCUUCGAAAUUUCAACUCAGUCGUGUGAUUAAGUAAGUUUUCAAUUUAACAAACUAGAUUUAUCGUGGUCUUCGAUAUUCAGAGAGAAUUUUCUAAAUUUUUUUCUGCACUUUUAUGUUAUUGACUGAAAUUUUGCAGGACUCAUAGAAAAAUGGCUCAUCAUUGCACUGAUUUUCAGUUUAAGGAUUCGAAUAUUGGAUUCAAAAGCAUCGGAAAACGUCAAGGUUCGUUUCGAAAAAUGUGAUAAAAGCAAUUAGCGUUGUCAUAUUUUUAUAAAACAUUAGACCACUUUUAAGUUGUGAGCGUAAAGCAAGUACCUAAAUCAAAUUCUGUCAAUUUUAAACGCUCGGUGGGAGAAAAUUCCCGGCGCCUUACGGGCGCCUUUCGAAAAGGCGCGUCACUUUUGCUAUACAGCCUCAUUAUCGCAGGCAAACGAAACCACACAGGCGCGCGUUCCCACCAUGCCAGAGCCCGCCAUCUCCUGCUUGAUGGGAGCGCGCGCCUGCGUGGUAUCGUUUGCCUGAGAGCUGUAUAGCAAAAGCUGUAAAGCUGUAUAGUUUAGCAAAGGUGGCGCCCCCUCGGUACAUGUAAAGGUAAAUAUUUUCAAAAAUAUUUCACCACCAUCGCACAAACCCAAUUGAUUCAAAUAGGAAUUAGGGGACAACGGAGAUUUUUUAACUUUUCAAAAAUCGUAUAAAACAUUGUCAAUCAGACUAGCUGUUAAUACUUUUGAAUAGAAAUCACAUAAUAAAUUACUAUAAAAUUUUAGACACAUCUACCAAAAAACAACCAUGCGAUCCAUCAGUAAAUAAAAAGUGUGGUAAGUUGGAGCAAUACAAGAAACUCACACAAAAAUGUAAUUACCUUUCAGUUUUCGAAGCCGAUUCAUCAGAUGGAACUUCAUAUUGUAAUAUGGAUGCGAACAAAAAAGACCCGCGUUGCCCAGGUACACAUUGAUUUCAAAAACUGAUCGUUUUCAGAAAAUGUUUUUUUUACAAAAAAAUGAAUAAGAUCUCUCAGUUUUUGUAUUUAUAUUGAAUAAAUUCUAUAAUUUUCAAAUGAGAACUCGACAAUUUUUAAAGAAUAAUCAAUUUUUUUCAGGGAGUGAACCAGGUGAUAAUUGUCUCAAAAUCACUGAUAAGGACUGUCAUUUCCGUAAGUUAUUCUUGAACAUAUUCCCUAAUUUAUAAUUUCAGCACUCAAACAGGAGGAAAUUAAUCAAAAGUGUCAGGAUUUUAAGCAAGAUCACAGGUGUCCGGGUAGGAAAUCAGUCGUUUCAUUAUAUUCAUUUCAUAAUAUACGUCUAUAUUUUUAGGAACGAUCUGGUACUGUACUAUCGCACCAAAGCAUGCCGAUAGGAACUUGUGCAAUAAUGUCAAUACAACACAUGGUUUGUUAUCAGGAAAAUCGAUAAUUUAUCCUGCUGAUUUUGAAAAUAACUGUUUUAAGCCUAUGCUUCUAUCAGGAUUUCAGAAAAUUUUCGUCGUUGUACAGUGAUUAUUUCUAAUGUCAAUCCAUCUGAAUCUAUCUCUGAAAUAUUUUAAUUCUCAGGCAGCAUGCUCUUUAGAACUUAUUGAUUUUUCAGAUCCAGAAGUGUGUUAUGCAGCAGGUGAUCCUGCGUGUGUAAAACGUAAGUUUAAUAGUUUUUUUCUGUACUUUGAAUAAAGCUUUCAAUUUUCAGCUAUCCCACCGACAGCAUCAUAUGGCACGGAUUUCUGCAAAAAGUAUACCAAUGAUUGCCAAUGUUACUCAAUGCGUCUUGGUAUUCAACAAAUUUUCUAAUUUCUGAAAAGUCGAUAAAAUAUACUUUUCAGGAUUCUUGCCUAUUUAUCCAAACCGCGCACUCUGCAAGUUGCAUCACGCUGAAAUAAAGAAAUGGAUUUGGGCAUGCGUUGUAAAAAGUGGUGUGUUAUUCUGCCAAAAAUUGACAAUGUGAUUCUAUUAUUGAAAAAAAUAAUUGCAGGGGAUAUUGGUGCAGGGUGUUACAAAGACACCGACCAUGAUUGCAAUCACAAUACGAGUAUGACAAUUUUCUAACUUUUUAUUCCAAAAAUAUUUUUUAAGCAAUGACUGAGGCAGAAGCAAAAUACCUGUGCAUUGAUGAAUUUGAGUUUAGAGACUUGAGAUGUCCUAGUUUGUUUUAAUUUUUCACAAUUCGAUAAAUCAUUCACUUUUUUUAGGACUCUCUGGUGAAGGUUGUGACAAGCCUGUUGAUGCCGAUUGCAGUAUGUUUUGAAUCUUCAAUUUCAUUCAAAUUGUUAAAAACUCAAUUUACAGCAACGACUCCUGAACCCACAACCACGGUGACAACUACAUUCCCUACUACUUCGAUGAAGGUAUAAAAAUCAGCGAAGCGCAACAAUAUCAGUAUUUUCCUGUCCUAUUUGCUUCAAGUUUUUAACAUUUUCUCUUUUUUUCUCACAUCUAAAACAACCGGGUUUUUGCUGCGAGACAUAAAAACUUAAAUUUUUCAAAAACGAGGACAUCUUUCAGAGGAGACCGCCACCACCACCGCCUCCACCAAUACAUGAAGCGCGACCAGAGGUUGGCAAUUCGAAUCAACUCAGAACAACUGCAGCAUCUAGGAAGGAUUUUGAG
rnacentral:sRNA from 1 species